AUAAUUACCUAUAUACCCCUCAAAAUUUCAUAAAUAUUUUAUUUAUCUCUAUUUUUUUUUCUUUCUAAUAUACCCCCUCAUAUGUUCCUCCGUUAUUCCAAAAUUUCUCUGCAAUUACCAUCCGUUAAGUUAACUUAGGUUCAACGUGAGUUAAAUAUCUACUAGAGUGAAAAAAAAAUAAAAUAAAAUACCUCUUUUAUCCUUAACUUAAGGAAAAAUAAGAAAUAAUGGUGAUGGUAGAAGGGUAUGUUUGAAAAGACUAAAAAUCAAAAUGUUUUUGUACCCCUAACUUAAGAGCAAAUAAGAAAAGUCGGUGAUGGUAAAAUGGUAUAUAUUUAAAAGGGCAAAAUAGUAAUUUUAUAGAGAUAACGGAUAUUGCUAACAGUUUAUUAACAUAAUUCAAUUCUAGGGGUAUAUUUGAAAUAGGUUGGAAUAUAAAAAAAAAAGAAGAUAUUUUCAAUAUUAGCCUUCUAAAAGAGAUAAAUUAGAAAGUCAAAAACUUUUCAGAGAUGUAUAAGCAAUUGAGCCCCCAAAAAAUAAUGGAAUUUAAUGAACUUCAAAUAUCUACAAUUAACAUUUUUUGGGUAAUAUAUGGCUUUUCAGUCUCUCUUAAUAAGGUUGUUAGAUUUUAUCUGAAAUACUAGAUCCAUUAACCGUAAUAUCGGAUUGAUAAGAAAAAAAAUAGUUUAGUAAUAUAUAUGAGAAAAUAAAAUAAUACAAAGUAGAAAAACAAAAAUAAAUCUAAAAUAUAGUGUAGAGAUUGAUAGAUGUCUUUGAAAAAAGAAUUAAUACAACAUAGUAAAUGAAAAAAGCACUAAAGUGUUAUCUACUAUGUAUAGUACUGUUGACUAACUCAUAUCAAAUAAAUUAAAAAGUUGGACAGUAAAAUUAGAAUUUUGAAGGUUGGAUCGUGAACUCAAAUAGUUUAUAGUUGAGCUAAGUUCUGUAUGUUUUAACCAAUAAAAAUUAAAAAAUAAAAGAGAAAAUUUGAGAUUUCAAGCUCGUUAGAACUCUUUAUAACCCUAAUGGGCCGGGCCGUCGGCCCAAUAACCAAUAACCCAAUUAAAUGACGAGCCCACGACUUUGAUUGCUUGUAUGGAGUUAUAACUACAUAUAGAUUCAAAUUUAGUAUCUGGUUUGAUGUAUUUGAAUUCGACUGCUGCAGAUGGAACUGUAUGCAAAGGUUCAACUUCAGUAGUUGGAACUACGCCCGAUUUGUCACAGUUCCGAUCAUAGCAGUUGGAGAGUGGUUUUAAACAAAAAAUACGAUUACACAAUAAUUGGCAAGAGAAUCUUUAAAUAAAAGAUAAGUUUAUUUUCCUAAUAAUUUUUUAAUUAAAUUUUUUUAAAAAAUUUCUCCUAAUCUCGCCACAAUAUAUAUAAGGUGAUGAAGUACACUUCUCAAGUACAUAUAAUCAAACAAAUUAUUUAUAAUUAUAGUGCUUUAUACUACAUCCAAGAUGAAAUUAUUAUAUUUUUAACUACAUUAGGCUGUAUUUUUAAUUACAUCCAACCAAAUCGCCCUUGUAGAGAGCUGAUAUGUACGAUGGAAUAUAAAAAGUGAUAUAGUAGGCGAAAAUAAAAUUGCAAUAACCAUCACUGUUUAGCAUGGCUAAUUGAUGUUGAUUAUCUAUAAAUAUUAAAGAAAUAUUUUAAUUCUUACGCUUUUAAAAGUUUUAAAAUUACGAAUUUAUUUAUGCAAAAAAUUAAUUAUCAAAACGUUUUAAACUUAAUUCUUGUGAAUCCUAGUUGAUUGACGUUUCUAGCUAAGUUUAUUUCUAGCUAAGUUUAUUUCUAAAUAAAAUAAACAAAGCGGAUNUCUUUCUCAAAAAAAAAAAAAAAAAUAGGAUUUAAAAUUUAUAGUUUUAAAAAAAUUUGAAUAAAAAGAUAUAAUAAAUUAAAGUUUGAGGAUAUAAGUGUUGUGCGUCUUUUAAGUUUGCAAAAGAAAAGUACAAAUUAGCCGACUAAAAUAAAACCAAUGAAUAAUUAAUUGUUAUAUUUUAAAAUGGUACGUAAAAAAGAUGCUAAUAAAUCUCGAGGGAGUAAAUUAAAAUUUAUCCUUUAAAAUAUUCUACAAUGCCUUGGAAUCAAUGGAAACGUGAUAUAAUUAAAUGAGGCACAUUUUUUAGUCAAACAAGUAUUUUGUCUUUUCCACUCCGAGAUCUGUGUCUCUGAAGAAAACAAAAAACAAAAAAAAUUAAAAAAAAUAAAAACUGGUCAAUGUAUCAGAACACAGUAAUUGUUACUGAUCCCAAAGUGACUCUUCCAUCUACUAUUAUUAUUAUAUAUCUAUAAUAAUAGGGUAAACUCAUAACUAUUAUUAUUAUUAUUAUUAUUAUUAUUAUUAUUUUUUGUCUUCGUCCUGUUCUAAGCCUGAGCUGUCUCACCCAUAUAGCUUAGUUCAUUUUUCCAAUGAAUAAAAUGGGUAACAUACUAUCUUUUUCGCAAAAAAAAUGAUAGGAUAAACUUUCAUUGUGCCCCUUCUAGUUUGAGGGGUUUUUUUAUUUGUUUGUUCGUAAACUAAUUUUAAAAUUAAAUGUCAGUGAAACUAAUAUUUAGAUCAAAGUUAUUUUUUCUCAAUGGUUUGUUUGACAAAAAGUCAAUAAAUUCACUGUAAUUUAUUACCACUCAUUUGUUUUCAAUGAUGGAGCCUCCAAAUCGACGUUCAGCACUAUUAAAUAUUAUUUAUACUAUUUGAAGUAUCUAGAAAUCAAAUUUUAUAUUUUUUCGAUAUUGUUAUCUAGUCCAUCAAGUGGGCGUAAAAAUGAAUGGCUAAAAAUAAAUAUCCUUCAAAAAGUGAUGAUUGAAAUUUUGUAAUCUUUGGAACGUAAUAUCACAAACCCCCGGCGCCUCUACAAGAACUAAAGGUUUAACCAAGCUAGCGGCUAUUUGGUGGGUCCUCUGGACCGAGCGAAAUAGUUUUGUUUUUAGUUCGAAUCUUCCCAACGUCGUCAAAGCCUCGGACAGAGCUUCUACCUUGUUUAGCUCUUGGAUCACGCUCCCGUUACCCGUCAACUGGCUACCUCCCUCUAAUCUUCUCUCUUCCUUUUUUCCUUUCUUAGUUGCUUCUCUUUCGUUUUUAUAUUCGUUUUUAUAUUUUCGGUUUGGUUUUUUGUCGAGGAAGCCUAAGCUGUUUUCACCUUGUACGCUUAGUUCAUUUAUCCUAUUGAAUGAAGCAGCUAGCGUGCUACCUUUCUCUCAAAAAAAGAAAUUUUGUAAUCACGAUCGAGAGGAUAGAUCUUGUUCUAAAUAGUUAAAAAAAAUUUCUAACCAAAAUUCAAUUAAUUUGGAUAGUUUUACACCGUUAAACAAGAAAACGUCUCAUAUAUCUACCAUUAAAAUUACAAAUUUUAAAACCUUUUGAUCAUUAGGUUAAUGAUGUCGAAAAAAAUUGAAAUUUAAUUUUUAAAUAUUUCUAGUGGUAUAGAUCAUAUUUAACGAUGCUGAUCAUCGAUUUGAAGGCUCCAUCAUAAAAAAUAAAUGGUGAUAACAAAGCCCGUCUGCUACCGAUAGCAUUCCAGCUUGUUUCAUAUAAUAGCUUCUCUCUCUCUCUUUCUCUCUCUCUCUCUCUCUCUAUAUUACCCUUAAAUUUAUUCUAUUGAUUAUUUUCAUCCGUUAGAUCAUAUUAUUCAACCAACUACUCACUCAACCCUAAAGAACCACUAUUAUUCGAAGUGAGGACUACAAUCAUCCUAACCACACAUCCCAUCGAUCAACGGUUAAAAAUUUAUGAGUACAAGAAGAUCUAUACUCAUAAGAGCAUAGUAACCCCAGCCUCUAUAUAUAUAUAUAUAUAUAUAUAUAUCCAUUUCUUAUUCUGCCAUUUGCACAGUUUCUCUUUCUCUGGCUCUCUCGCUCUCCCCAAAAUCUUAAAUUCUAAACCCUAAAUCCGAAAACUCGGUGAAUAUUGAGACGGGAUCAAUGGCUGCCAAUGCCGCCCCGCUGCACGUGUUCUUCCUCCCGUUCCCGGCGGCAGGCCACUCCAUCCCGAUGCUCAACGUCGCCGCCCUCUUCACGUCCCGCGGCGCCACCUCCACCGUCGUCCUCCUCCGCGCCAACGACGAUUCCGCCGAUUCCACAUCGAAUUCUAAUCGCUGCGGCGGCGGUGACAAUGACGACAAUGACGACAAUGGCGGUCUCCGGUUCCUGUCCCUGCCCUUCUCCUAUGCUGCCGCAGGGAUUGCCGAGGGGGAGGUACCGCUGCCCAGCGCCUACGCCACGCCGGAGUUCGAGGCCGCGCUCGACGCCGUCGGCGAGCCAUUCCUCGAGCUGCUGAAGGCCCACCGCCCUGACUGUGUCGUCGCCGACCUCCAGAUCCCCUUCGCCGCCGAGCACGCCGCCGCCCUCGCCAUCCCCCACCUCACCCUCCAGGUAUGCAUGCAUGCAUACAUACAUGCAUUUCCACGGAACUCUCUAACUAUUCAUCAAUUUUGAUGGAUGAAUAGAAAGCUAGAAACAUAAGAACUGUUGUAGUCCUGAUAGCAUAGUAAUUAUAUAUAUAUAUAUAUAUAUAUAUACACACACACACGUCGACCCCAUGCAAGGGUGCAUGCAUGCACGCAGGUGACGUGCGCGUUCUCGCUGAUCGUGAUGGGGAUCAUCAACCACGCGAAGCCCCACCUCGGCGUCGCCUCCCCCUCGGAGCCCUUCGUCGUCCCGGGCCUCCCCCACCGGAUCGAGCUCACGCCGGCGCAGCUCCCCUCGCACCUCACCGCCCCGGUGGCGGCCGAGCGCAACCGCCGGAUCCUCGCCGCCCAGCGCGGCGGCGGCGGCGGCGGCGGGGGGUGCUCCCUGGGCAUGAUCCUCAACACCUUCCGCGCGCUCGAGCCCGCCUACGUCGACAUGCUCCGCCGCGCCGGCAGAUUCAGCGCCUGGUGCGUCGGCCCCAUCUCUUCCUCCGCCGCCGCGCGCCGGCGGCGACGAAAUGGUGAUCGGAGCGCGGCGGCCGACGGAGAGUGCCUGCGGUGGCUCGACCGGUACGAGGGCCCGCCCGGGUCGGUCCUCUUCCUCUGCUUCGGGAGCCAGGGCCGGUUCACGCGAGCGCAGCGGCGCGAGCUCGCGCGGGGGCUCGCGAUCGCAAGCGUGCCCUUCGUGUGGGUGGUGAACAAGGGAGAGGAGGAUGAUGAUGAUGAGGAGGAGGAGGAGGAGGAGGAGAGGAUUGUUAGGGUUUCGGGGUUGGGGUUGGUGGUGCGGGGGUGGGCGCCGCAGGUGGAGGCGCUGGCGCACCCGGCGGUGGGGGGGUUCGCGACGCACUGCGGGUGGAACUCGUGCGCGGAGGGGAUCGCGGCCGGGGCAGCCAUGGUCACGUGGCCGCUCUACGCGGAGCAGUUCGUGAACGAGCGGCUCCUGGUGGACGUGGUCGGCACGGGGGCGCCCGUGGGGGCGAGGGUGUGGAGCGACCGCGCGGAGGAGAGGGGGCUGGUGGCGGCGGAGGCGGUGGCGGCGGCGAUCUCGCGGGUGAUGGGGGACGGCGCGGAGGCGGAGGGCCGGAGGCGGAGGGCGAGGGAGAUCGCCGAGGAGGCCAGGCGGGCGGUGGCCGAGGGUGGCACGGCGAGCGACGACAUGGCCUGGCUCGUCGCGGAGAUACUGAGGAUCAAGGAGGAGAAGAAGAAGAAGAUGGAGGAGGAGGAGGAGGAGGAGGAGGAGAAGAUGUGAGUGUGUGGUGUGAGAGUAAAAAAUCAAAGUUACUAGAGUAGAGCUACGAUGCUAUCGGAAGUAUAGAAUAUCUAAUACUUUCGACUUUUUGGCUCAUAGAUCAGUUCCUUUAAUCAUUUCUUAUCUUUGAAUUAUUCUUAGGGAACCACUCAACUCUAGUGAUACUAUUUAAUCCUAGAGGGGACUGCGAAAUUAUCACAAUCGUAUAAUUUUGAAUCCAAGAGUCAAAAAAAUCGAAAGUAUCAAAUUUUUUAUAUUUUUGAUAGUAUAAUAUCUCUACUUAAAUAACCAUAUAAUUAUAGAAAAAUAGUAUUUGCUGUCUACUUUCUAAACUUUCUAUUGUUUGGAUGAUUUUCAAAAGCAAAGCUGAAAAGUAGAUAGAACACUAUUUAUCUAUUAUUAAUAUUAUUAUUAUAGACCAGUUGUUAUUAUUAUUAUUAUUAUUAUUAUUAUUAUUAAGUGUCAGUAGGUACCACUGAUGAAUCUUUGUGGUUCGUUAUUGAGGAGCGAGAAGCAGGGGCUUUUUUAUAAAAUGACCCUCCAAAAAAUUGAAAUUGACAAAAUGACCCUGUAAAAAUUUUAUUUGUAAAACUAACCCUCCUUUCGCCACGUGGGCGCCACGUUAGGGUCUCCUUACAAAGACGGUGAAUCGUUCGCCGUUUUCUCCCAUUUCUUUUAAAGGCGGUGAAUCGUUUCCCGCUUUUAUCCAUUUCUUUUAAAAGCGGUGAAUCGUUNGCCUUAGUUGAGGGGGUUCGUACGCAAUUUUACCUAACCAAUGGGUAGGGCUUUUUUAUAAAAUGACCCUCCAAAAAAUUGAAAUUGGCAAAAUGACCCUGUAAAAAUUUUAUUUGUAAAACUAACCCUCCUUUCGCCACGUGGGUGCCACGUCAGGGUUUCCUUACAAAGACGGUGAAUCGUUCGCCGUUUUCUCCCAUUAUCCAUUUCUUUUAAAAGCGGUGAAUCGUUCACCACUUUCUCCUAUUUCUUUUAAAGGCGGUAAAUCGUUCACCGCAUUCAUUAAAAUUAUGCGUGAAUUAUAUAGGAAAUAGAAAAAAGUGAGGUUGUUAGGAUUAUAUGUGGAUCAUUAGAAUUUUUAUUUGAUUAUUAGGAUUGUAUGGAUAGAUUAUUAGGAUUUUCAGGCUGUUAAGAUUAUAUGAAAUUAUAUGGAUAAAUUAUUAGGAUUUAAAGGUUGUUAAGAUUAUAUAUGAUUUGUUAGAAUAUUUAUGUGGUUGUUGGGAUUACAUAUGGGAUAAAUAAGUGAAAGACGGUGAAUGAUUCACCGUCUUUAAAAGAAAUAGAAGAAAGCGGUGAACGAUUCACCGCCUUUAAAAGAAAUGGGAGAAAGCGGUUAACGAUUCACCGCCUUUUUAAAGAAAUUCUGACGUGGCGCCGAUGUGGCGAAAGGAAGGUUAGUUUUCCAAAUAAAAUUUUGAAAGGGUUAUUUCACAAAUUUCAAAAAUUUAGAGGGUUGUUUUAUAAAAAAGUCCAGAAGCAGUGGCUGUCUCUUCUGUCCUUUUUUGAGUGUAAUUUGUCGACUCUUGUGCGUGGAGUUUGUUGAGUUUUGUGUGUAAUGUAUCGUGCCGGAAGAUCCGUUUUAGAGUAUGAACUUGCCUGCACUGAGAAUGAGAAGAAGAAUUAAUAAGACUCACGGGACCGAGACCAAUUGAGUUAAUAAGGAAAGAGAACAAUGUCGGUAGAAGAUAGGAGCUCACGAACAGAGAAAACAGAAGAAAAAUGAAGCAUGAUCAAAAGAGCUUCUACAGGAAUAGAUAUCUGAGAAGUAAUCAAUGUACAGGCCGCAAGAUGCGGAGAGCACUUCACUUCAAAUCCACUCGAAGAGUUCAUAAUUCAUAAGUUCUAUAGAGCAGUAAAAUGAGAACUUGAAAAAAGUAAAAAGAAGAGAAAAAUUUUCAUGUAAACUACUACAACUCCUCUAUCCUCUACUCAAUCACAUUUCUUCUUUGGAAAAAAAAUAUAUAUAAUAAAAAUAUUUCAUUUCUAUAAAGCAUGAUUUGAUGGAAGAGGGGGCCAAAAUGUAAUUGAUUGAAGGCAUCUCGUACCCAAAAAAAAUAAAAUAAAAUAAAAUAAAAUAAAAUAAAAUUCUGAUUCUACUUUACUGACACUUUUUAUAGAUAUUUGCAACAAAACACAUACAUGUGUUUAUGACAUGUCCAUUUCAGACAGCCUGGGCUUAACAUGUUUCUGGAAAAGCUAAAAACCAUGAAUCCAAGGACAGCACAGGUCAGUCAGUCACAAGUAGAGCAUUUCGAGGUUUUCACCACAUGUUUCCCCCUUCAGAUAGAUAUACAACAGUCCAAUAUAAGCCAGAUCACAUUUCGAGGGUUUUUUGUUUUUUUUUUAUCCCAUCUAGGGCACUGCCCAGUGCCCAGUGCCCUAGAUGGGAGAAAAAUCUAAAAACAAAACAGUACACUUUUUUUAAAAAGAAAAUUUUAAAUAAAAUAAAAAAGCGUAGCCUACUCAAAUGGAAAGAACAGCACACUGAUAAAUCCUCUCUUUCUUACCUUUUUUUUAGUUCUCAAUGCUAAUAUAAACAAAAAAUAGAGAACUCGACUAAUAAAUUUUUUUGCCACACCUUAGCUCAUGUUUCACAUAUUUACAAAAUAGAUAUAGUUACAUAAAAAUAUGCAUUGGAUAAAUCCUCUUUCUUACCUUUUUUUCUGUUUAUCAAUGCUAAUAUAAACAAAAAUUAGAGAACUCGACUAACAAAUUUUUUUUGCCACACCUUCAGCUCAUGUUUCUGUUUAAAAGCUUGAAUUUCCAAUCGAUCAGUUGAAAAGCAAGUCCACGUCCACAUAUUUACAAGAUAGAUAUAAUCUGUGCUUCUUCGCCGGCCAAAUCUACAUACCAUAUUUUCAGACACCUGACGGGAGAGGCAGUCUUUGCGAAUUAUUGCACAAUCUUCUUUUGGGGUAGUCGUAGAUUUCACCAGACUUGUGUUUGCUUGUUGCUGACACUACCUGAGAUGAUUUGAGUCUAUCAUUUACCACAGAUACCAAAUGAAACACAUAUUUCUCAUUUUUGAAAACAGUACUAUACAACGAUAAGAAAUUUUUUUCCCCCUCAAGAAAACAAAAAGAGGCUUCCGCUAACCAGUGGCAAGCGAUAGAAAAUCAGGAACUUCCAUUUUCUUCUUUCCUUAGACAGAUAGCGAGGAGGAAACCCAAAAAAAAAUCCUUCAGUUGGGUGUGCGUGCUCGAUCGUCUCUUGGAAAGAAAGAUCGGUUGUUGCAACUUUUUUCUCCCAGUCAUAACCAAGCACCCCAACCUGGAAACAUCUGGCACAAUCGGUCCGUAUCCACCGCAUUCUGUAUGAGUUGUUGCACCUGCAAAACAAUAAUCAAAUUAAUGCCCUUGGUUAACAAGUCGGACGACUUAAAGAGUUUGUUUGUUGUGGUCAUAAACAAGGGCAGUGUGAUUGAGUUGUUUCAACUUUCAGGAAGCAAUGGCACAACUUUAUUGGGUCCAUUAUGUGCAGGGCUUUGGCUUUUCCGACCUCAGAAACACCCCUUGUUCUUCAUCUUUCAACUAGAAACCCCUUCGUUUUUAAGGUUUACCCUCAUAACGCAUUCUUAUAAGCUUCUUUCAGUGGAUCUAAAGAAUAUUCUAUUGACAAUUUUCAAUUUUGGUCCCCUUAAAAGUUUUGCCCUUGUAAAAACUGUAAAGAAAGGAUAUGUAUAUGAAGUGACAAGCGUGUAAAGCUGUUACAAACAAAAAAUAAACAAAAACAGUUGAUGGAAUAUUCAAAUAGAGAGUACCGAUCAAAGAAGGGGGGAAAAAAGAUAAUUGAGGGGCCAUGUCAAAAUGGCGUAUAGUUGAGGGGGUCUUCAUACAUUUUUGCAUUAAAGUUGCAAAGAGUGGUAUGAAAGUUGUUUGAGAAUUACCUGGCCCUGAACACUUCUCAUUUCACCUUCUUCAUAUCCAUCCAGUUUCUGUUUGACUCGCAGUAUAGCACGGGCGGCAUCCUUGUUGCCCUCGUAAGCAUCUUGCGAGCUCUCCAAACACGACUCUACGCCAUCAUCAGUUUCCUGUAAGAAAGGGAGGAUUAAAAUUUUAAUUACAGGGAGGAACACUCUCUGAAGCCAUUUCAGAAUUAUCUUCAAAAAUUUUCAUGGUGAAUUAUAUACAUAAGGAAAAGUUUAGAUAGCCAAGUUGCAAUAGAUGAAAAUAAACCAGUUUAUUUUGCAAAGCUUGACAAAAGAAUAAUUUAUAUCAAAGCAAAAGGAGUUUGUAUAUCCAACAAAAAGAUAAAGGAUAACGUAAAAUUCAGUCAUACCUUCUGACGCUGUAAAGCUUUCAAAGGAGACAGUGCCCACUUAUAGAGAGGGUCGUGGAUGAAGACCUACAAAAUUGAGACAAGUUAGUCACUUGGUGAAAAUAACAAAAAAAAAAAAUCAAGCGCAUUAGCUCUUUAUUCUAGGAAAUUUUUUGAAAGGUUCGACGUUUGUACUUCAAUAAUAGUUAGCAAAGCUUCCUUGUUUGUCCUCAUGACAGAGAGAGUUUCCUCACAGCAUCUUCUGAAAACACCCUCGACGCCAGUAACACCCAUUCCAUCAAUAAUGUCCCUCGUCAGCCGAAAUGGAACCUACCAGUUAUUGCAAAAUCAAAAUUGAAUAAUUCUAAGAACAUGUAUCCACGUUUUUAACACUACAAAAUCAGAAAUUUACAUAUGUCCAUCAAAAACUCAAUUUCUUUGCAAAUUUUCUCUAAUUCAUAACAAACUUUCCCCCAGAUUUGGAUAGGUUCCCAUCUCCAGAGUACAUCUGUAAGAAUAUGCACCUUUUCUAGUAUAUAUGGAAAUUCAGAUUUGUAGCAGCAUAAGCAAAAGAUGAUUUCACAGGGAUGUAAUAUAAAAGACCUUUCUAAGGAUUCAUUUCUUAAAGGAAUAUCUGUAUACAGGCAAGAAAGAAAAGGGAAAUUGCAAAAUUCAAAUACGUACUCUCUCGGGUGUUUUAAGCAUGAGGCCCUGCUCAAAGGCAACACCAAGAUCGAUGUGUACAAUCUCUGCGGUAUCUUGAUCUAUGAGAAUAUUCAUAGAAUGCCUAUCACCUAGCCCUACAAUGUAGCCCACCUGAAACCAAAGGAUAACAGUUCAAAGGUGAAUGCUGAUUACCACAAUUUAAUUUUUUAGGGGUUUUCCUAUUUUACAAAUUUAACCCGUGUUUUAUCUGCUUUUGCAACGCAAGGAAGAAUUUUCUUUUUAUGGACUAGAUUACUAGAAUGACCCUAGCAUGGUUUAUGAUAAAUUCGAACAUUUGGCUUCCACGAUUCCACCCGUGGCAAUUCCUGCUCGUCCAAGAAUCAUUUAGUCAAAAUUUAAAAAUAACUAAGUCAACAAAGGUGAGUCAAAGUGGCAAAAUCACAAAAAGGUAGAAUGUUUAUGCGAAAUGCCCACGAUUAAGAAAGGAAAGCUUUACCAUUGAACUUGCUGCUAUGCUUCUUGUAUAAGAAAGUCGGCUCCCAAACCAAUCAGCAGGCUGCAAGAAUCUCUCCAGAAAGAAGUGGUGCAUCACAGGCCUGGAUAUAAGCCGACAAGUGGAAAAAGAAAAAAGAGAAUAAAAAACAAAACUUCGAUUAGUGUAACAAAAUAAAUGCAUCUGCAAAAUCAUGAGGAGACCUGAAGUUUUCACAGACUUUAAGAAAUGCCUUCCUCUUGUCCUUUUCCUGUCAAAGAAGAAAAGGAAAAAGAAAACAACAUCAAAAAUCCUUCUGAAGAUACAACAGUAUCAUAAUUAUUACUAAGAAGCGCGAACUCUUUUAACUCAAAGUAGAUACAACUUUGCUUACAACACAUUAAAUUUAUAUGAUUGUAAUUAUACUCCCCAUCAACCUUCUUUAAAGCCAUUGUCUUAUAGCGAUUAAAAGUUAAAUUUCACUUUCUAAAUUCAUGAUAAAUCUACAUUGAGGGGUGCACACUAUAGAAACUUACGGGGUUUUAGUUCAAUAGUCCUUUUCUAAAAUUUUAUUUUAAAAAUAAAUCUGUUAAAAUUUUAUUUGUAGAUAUAGUCUUAUAAAAGCGGUGAAUGAUUCACCGCUUUUAAAGCCGGUGAACCAUUCACCGCUUUCUUUCUUUUUCUUCCUUUUUAUUAUAAUUCUACGAUGGUAAGAGCGGUGAAUGGUUCACCGCUUUUAUUAUUUUUUUACUGCUAAAUAGAAGUUAUGAAUGCGGUGAAUGAUUCACCGCAUUUAAAGGCCUAUUUUUAUAAUUAUUUUUUUAAGAAAACUAUUUUUAUAAUUAUAAAAAUUGAUAGGAUUAGUUAUAAAAAAUAUUCGAAACUUACACUUGUCAUGUACUCCCUGCAUUGGAGAAAUGACCAGUCACCUACUCCAUAGCGUCCAUGUGCUCCACCACUUCUUGUGCUAAAUAAGCAAGAAAGAGGAAAAAAAUAUAAAGAAAAUAGAUUGGUGCAUAGCAGAGGUAUACCACGAGAACCUUAGUAUUUAACUAUAAAAAGUACCUUCCUAAAAGAUAUUCGCCAAGUGGAACAGUCCGAUCAACCCAUUCAACCACACCUGCGCUUGGUGUAAAAGGAACCACCUAUUCAAAUAUAGAGCAGAAAUAAGUUAAAGAAUGAUAUUUAAGAACUAAUGUAUUUGACGUAGGGUAGAGAUUCUACGUUUCCCCGCUGAAAAUAUAAUACCUUAACACUUCGAACAACACCAUUACAUCAUGAUUAUUCCUUGUAUAAUAAUUACAGAAAAGAAUCAACCAAAAUAUCACAACAACAUGUCUAUGCAUGAAGAAAAAGAAAUGAUCUAGUCAUAAGGAAAAUAACUACAGGUAAAUCAAAUUAAAAAAGAGAUCCAGGAUGUGUCAGAAGAUACCUUGUAUGUACGAAUUCUCAAUCUCCUCUUCCAUGCAUCUCUAUGGUUUUGUAGGAAAGUGUUUACCAAACCAAAAAAUUGUUCCAUAACCUGCAAAGCUACUACUUUUAUACCCAGGCAUCUACGGAAAAAAACAAACAUAACAAUUGGCUCAUAAUAAAAGAAAUAUAGUUCAUUGGAAUAUCAACUUCUCUAAAGUACAGUAACUCAAUAUAUUUCUGAUGCUUGACUAGUCAAACUGUAUAGAAGAGACUCAUAAUGCCACUUCAAGAAAAUCUACCAAGAUACCAUGCAACCGACUAGUUGUAAUGAGACUUGACAAGGCAUUAGUAAGUAUUACAUGAUGGUAGGUAAAGAUUCUAAUUAAAUUCUCUCAAGAAUCAUACGUUGACUGCUGCAUAUGUAUGAUACUUCAAUAGUAGUUAAAAAAAAAAAUCAAGCAAUAAAUAAAGAAAAUUAGCAUUGUAUGAUGAAAAUCCUUUUUCCUUCAGAAAUUGAUGCUAAAAAUGUUGGUUUGAGAAAAAACUUACUGGACAUUAGCAAAUAAAGGAAAUAUAUAGAGUAUCAGAUUACACAUGGUAUAAAGAGACCCGACAAAAUUAAGAAACUCAAAAUAGCCAUAAAUCGAAGAGUUUUAAAACAAGGUUGAAAGAGUUAGAUGAAAGAGUUAAGAGUUUUAAAAAAGAAGGCUUAAGAAGGAAAGGAAAAUUAAUUUAAAAGGGAAUCAGGACUGUUGUGUUGUAGACACUCAACAAAAAGAAAAGUGUAAGGAGAAAAGGUUCUCGAUCAUACAGCAUCUUGGCGUAGGUCAUCAUUUCCAGAUUUUGCAAGUUGACGAUAUUUACGGCCAUCCGAGCCUAAGCACUCAAUUACUUUAGGAAUAUUUAUGCCAUUCAUCACCCUGCAGAUCACAUGAUUAACUAAAUAAAACAAGAUUAUUUAUAUGAAAGUAGAUGAUAAAAACAAUAUACUUUAAACAUACGUAAUGGAAUCUGCUAGACCCUUGAAAUGUGGAAAGGAACCUUCUCUAUACUGGCAACUUGGGUCAACUGGAAUAGUAGCUGUGACAACCGGCACCUGAGAUUAAAUAAAAGAAAGGAUCAGAGAACUUCCAAUCCUACUUGAGUAAAAGACCAGUUUAAAGGAAAAUAAAACAACAAAAAAAAAAAAUCUCGAGAUUUAAGAUAUUAGUUAUCAAGAGAAAAUGAGUCACAAAAUUUAAAACCCAACUUUGCUGCAAUUCACAUGAAGCAAUGGCCAAUUAAACAAAUAAACAGAAAGAAUGUGCACAGAAUAGUGAAGAUGGUAUCUACAGCCAGCUAAAAGAGUCACCUAACAAACAUGUUCAACAAGAAGAAAAGAUAUAUGAAGCAUUCAGCUUGGCAUUGCAAAGUAGGUAAGGCAGACAUCCAUGUGGCCCAUUAUUGUUCAAAAUGCAACAAAAUGUGUAAGAGUUACUUUCUGAAAUAACUAAUGGGAAAAUCUAUGCUUCAAUAGAUUGCUUCAUUAAGCAAAACAUAUCAAAAAUAUCUUUCCAUUCUUCCACAAUGAAAACGCAUAUAUUUCAGCAUCAUCUAAAUUAAAUUUAUAGAGGCAAUUUUCUAUGGAGCAAGGAAUUCAUCUUUUAAUGGAUGAACGUCUUUGGAAAAAGCCAAUAUGUUUGGUUCAUGUCAUCAUGAUUCUGUGCUACAUUUAUGGCACACUGUAGAAGCAACUAUCAACAAAUUAUUUGAAUAUAUUAAUGUGCUUACAAGUUCAAGCUGCCGAAGACUACGGAUAUCUCUUGGUAAUGGAAUUCUUUUGUUUGUUUCCUGUCACGAGAUUGACAGAAAAUACUCAGCGUCAAUAUUAUCUCACUAAACAAAGAGGAAAAAUCCCCAACAACUAUCAUAACUGAAUGCGCAAGAAAAAGCCUAACACAUCAGAUGAUCAGAUUAUGCUAAGGUAACCGACCUCCUUUUUCGUCUCUAAUUCAGCGAGUUUGAUAUAAACCUCAACCAUUUGUUUCAUCUACAAGAUGGAGAACAUUAUCUUCAAGUUCAGAAAAAUAAAGAUGCCGAUUUGGUGUUCAUAGAUCAAAAGGUUCAGAAUAGCAUUAAAAAAUCCAAAGAAAAUUGGCAAACCUGUUGAAUUAAAGGUCCAUGGCAUGAGGAUAACUCGUUUAAGAGAUUUUCUGCAGCGAGUUUCUUAUCCAUAUCUACAACAAAGGAACUUCUACUCCUUUGCUUGUCUUUGACACGGUCGCCAUUUGCUAGAGCAAGAAGCUGAUAAGAAAAUAUAUAAAUAAGUGGUUAAUAAAGAACAAAAAGGUCGAUAAUAAAUGUACAUUUGAGUUACCAAAUACAUACAAUUUAAACAGAGAAAUAUUGAUUUUGCUUACGCAAUUCCCAAAUCCCAGGAAGUUUAAAUUCAAUCAGAAGCAUAAAAUGCUGAUAUUUUCAAAAUACUAGUCUAGGUAUGAGCAGAUGCCAGAGUGUUUAGAUCUAUUAAGGGAAGAGAAAAUUCUUCAGUCGAAGCAUCUAUACUCAAUCCAUCAACUAUGUUAUCCUUGGUUGACUAAUAAAAAACUUCAGGUAAUCUCGCCAUCCAUCCUCUCUAAUUAGCAUCCUCAUAACAUACAUUUUCAGUUUUAGAGUUCUCUAUACAACGGUGCACUUUGAAGGCAUAUGACCUCAUAUUGCAGAUACAUAUCUAGUUUUUAAUCUGAUAAUCUCUCACUUCUGUGCCAUUUCCUUCCUUACAGGUCAAAAUUUAUGGUCACAUCCAGUAGGGCUGUAGUUUAACAGUUUUAACCAAUAGGUGCAUAAGUUCUACACUUUAUAUGCUUGCAUAAACCAAAUGGGAUAUUUAUAUCCUGUUGCACUUAUAUGCAGACCUUUUCCCUCAGUUUAUGGCAUUUUAGGUCUCACUUGGGGUCUCUUUAGCCUGUGGAAUUCUGCAGUAAACCUUCUUUCUUAGUUCUUUGAAGAAGCAAAGCAUUUCCAUUACAAUCAACUCUACAGCUUCUCACUGCGGUAGAAAUGCAAGCUCCAAUUUAAAGCCCUAGCUUUUCGCUUUUGAGGCCCAAUAACUUGUAUCAGUUCCCGCCAAAGAAAAUUCUCCGAAAUAUUUGUUAGCCAAACAUCUGGUUUCUUGAAGCUUCUGUCAGGAUGUAGAGUUGUUUCCAAAACCCAAGCCAAAGAAACACUACAACUCUCUGUAUCCAAUACAAUAUGUAUAUCUUGGUCACCUAACCCCCAAUGUCAGACUGCAAUAUCAUGUAAUUCAACAAACUACACAGGAGAGGGAAAAAAAAAAACUAACUAAAUUCCUAAGAGUUGCCUAUUUCACAAGUAUACAUAUUAGCAUACUGCUAGUGUAGUGCACGAAAAUGAUAAACAAAGUAAAACAAGAGUCAAAGUAAUAUCCAACAAGUUCCACAUCUUCAGUACCUGAAACAUCGUAUGGUAUGGAUGAUCAAUGGCCAUUUUCUUAACAAGAGAAGCUAAUGCAAUCUGCAAAAAUAUAAUAUACUUCUGGAUUAUGAACAUUUGACAUUUGAUCGUAUACAUUUAAAAGGAAUUCUCACAGAAUAUAACCUGAAAGUUGUUGGACCCUAGAACAUCCUUUGAACUACCAAGUCUUGAAGCAAUCUGAUAAACUAGCGGUAUGAAUUUGUAUGACUGAACCUGUAUGUUCAUAAAUAAUUAGUAUUUAAAUCAAUUUGAUGAAAAGUAUCUAAAAUGGUGGAAUCAUACAUCAAAUAAGAACACAAAAAAAGAAGAUUCUCAAAGAUACAUUAGAAUGAACGAAUAAUAGGUAUACUGUAGGAAAGCCACCUCCUUUAUUGUUCGAAUCAUUGCUUUCACGACGUGCUCUCUCGAAAAAAGACUGAACCACAAGGAAACCAAUCGAAAUACCUGAUGCACAGUAAUUUUCAAAUAAUAAUCCAAGCAGUGUAAUGAUCUAAAAAAGACAUAAAAAAGACUGGUAUAUUAAAAAUGUUCUGUAUUUGUUAUAUUAAAAGUAAGCUUAUGAACAAUCAUAAAGCGAGGACAGAUAGAACUCCGGACAGACAGAUCAAUCAAUUAGUGGUUGAUGGAUUGACAAAUUGGCAGAUGGAUAUAAAGAUGGGUAGACUGAUAGACAAAUUGAUUGACAGAUGGAUCAAUUUGCUUGAUAGCUAGAUCAAUUUGAUUGCUAGCUACAUAGAUAGGUAGACAGAUAUAUAAAACAUAAAUACAUUACUGGGAAAUUCAAGAUAGUUUAGAUGAGAUAGUGUAACUUAAUUCAAAGAUGUAAGAUUUGAAAAGAGACUGGGUGGCGAUAUAUAGCAAGCUCUAAGCAUCACAGAUCUAAAAUUCAAUCCAGGGAAACAUACCCAAUCAUAGAAACAGUAGUUAAAGAGUUAAGACCAUAGUCAAAAUAGAAGAAUGAAAAUCCAACUCUUAACCAACGGACAUACAAGUAUACAACCAAUAGUUACCAUAUAUUUGUUUUUUCAUGGGUUUACAGUUAGCCUGAUAUUAACAAGAAUUCAACAUCAAAACAGUCAAUAUAAAAGGUUGAACAGAAUAUUUUUAUUGUCUUAAUGUAGGAGAAAAAUCAGUCAAAACAAUAAUGUAGAAAAGGCAAAAUAUCAUGCUAAGAAUAAAACAUACCACUCUCAGAUCAUAUUUUCCGCCUAUGACAAGAGAACGCUGAUAACCCUCCAGAGCUAAGUUGAGGAAGUUGUCCCUGUCAUCCUAAAAAGAGGAAAAGGAAAAUCAUAUAAACUGUAUGCUACAAAACUUCAACUAAGUAGAAAAAUAUAGAAAUAAGGCAACGGAUCAGAAAGGAAAAAACAACUUAUUAUGUCUUUAAGUGAACAAGGGUAAGAACAUAACACUUGUAAACACCAAAUCUGACUCCUACAUACUUUUACAAUGCUCAUGAACACCAAAUCUGACUCCUUCAUACUUUUUUCUUACUUUUUAUUCUUUUGAAACUUGGAAGCUAAAUGCUGUAUAGUUACUAUAGUACAUAACUACCACAGCUGAUUGGCAAACGGCAAAAUCUUGGUUUAAACAAAAGGGUAUCACAAAAUGAUUCGAGAUGGCCUUAUUAUUUCUGCAAGUGCAACCAUAAAUACAAGUGACAGUCUAGCAACCUAGCUUAGUAAACAUUAAAUGGUGAGAUGGUAAUUCAACGCUUUUUGAAUGAUAUAGGUAUGAGUAAAACAUCAAUCCACGAGGACAGAUAGAAUCCCAAAAAGUACUGAUGCAGAACUUCUAGACAGUUUGACAUAGAGCAUCAUCAUUUUUGAAACACAAUGGCUGAAAUUACAUAAGAAACAAGAAAUGACCACAAUAACCAAAUAACCAAAGGAAACGAUUCAAAUAUUCAUUUCAAAAGCAGUUAUGCAAGGGGCUUUGUUAAUAUCUCUUAUUUACAGCCUGACCAUCAAAUGUUCAUCAUCAUUUUUCAAGUUUUCUCAUGCCCUUCCAAUAUUUAUCCCCAGGACACUUUGUCUUGGGUUACUCAUAAACAUCUUUAGUAUUCUGAAAGAUGACAUGAAAGCCCAUAACCUUUUGCUCCAUUCUUCUGUUCAUGUAGCAAAACACAGUUGUGAUUUUCUCUCGAAUUAGAUACUUAGACGUUAGUUAGUAUAAUCUAUGGCACAGUUCACCGCAUGCAAACCCAAAUAAGCCCAUCACGUUCCAAAGCAUCCAAUUAAUCUGAAUCAUCAUAGCUACAUCGGAGCUAAAUACAGCACAUGCUAUAAUUACCUGAAGCUUCUCUGCCUCUUCUCGGUCCAUAGUAAGUUGUUUUUGUAAUUCUUGAAUUUUUACAGAGUAAUCAGUCUUCUCACCCUAAAUGAAUGGCUGGAUAUUAGUAAGAAGAAGAAUCAUAUUCACCAUUCAAUGUGAAGAAAGUACAUCAUAAGCAAAGAAAACAUGCUCCAUCUUAUUGUACAAGGAUAUCAUUCAAGUCUUUCAGUGGGUAAUAAUACUACUUGCCUUUGAGGAAGAUCUUAGCCUUUUAAUCAGUGCGUCCAACUCUCUGGUCUGAAUCAAAUGGACAUUUUGUGAUGCUAAAGAACAAAUAACAGUUUAAAUUUAUAUGGCUAUUAACGUUCAGCAUGUCCAGGUACCUUGUGUUUCCUCAGACGCAUAGCUGCUUGCCAUUCACUGGAUGCUAGCCUUUCCUCACAGCUUUUAGAUAGAGCAUCUGUAUAAUGUGCCAAAUGGAAAUAUGACUGACACUGUCGGGAUACCGCCUUUUUAUCCUUAUUCUUGCUCGCCUCACUGAGUUCUACCGAGUGCCGUAAGAAUUGCUCUAAAAUAGUUCUUGAGCUACAAAGUUAAAAAAUAAAAUAGAUAAAUUCAACAAAAAGAAAUAAUAACUAUGCAGAAAAAACAAAAUGAAGUUGGUGAAUUAGUGUAAUCGAUUAUUACUUGCUCGAUCUAGUUUCAGCCAACCACUUCCCAACUAAUCGGUACACAUUUGAGAUCUCCUCUUCCUUCGGAUAAUUUUGUAUAAUGUAUUUUCCAAGAUUGAUAGCCAUGUCAUGCUGGCCUUGAGCCCGCAGUAGUUUAGCUUCUUCAAGCUGCAUAGAAAUUGCGGGAUUCAUGCAAAAAAAAAAAGAAGAAAUAAUAAGAUAUAAGGAUACUCCACAAUAAUUGUAUUGGAAGACACAACACGAGCAGAUCAGUACAUACGUUAGAGUUUUUUUUUUUUUUUUAAGGAAACCCCUCUCAUAUUGCAAAUAUACAACUUCAAUCCAAUGUUAUGGUUCUAACAACAUUUUCGUGGAUAUUUCUUUUCCGGAACAAAAUACCUUUGAUAAAACAAAAUAAGUGCAUCUAGAAAGACAUAAGAUUUGUCUUAAACUAAUUCACCAAUAAAACUUAUUUCUUCCUACCGUUGAAAUGAAACAUGAAUGAACAAAGUGGGGAAUGAGCUCCAUACCAGUAUGAUACUAUAUAUUUUACAAAAUAGUGCAUGAUCAGAUUAAAAAAAGCAAAUGUAAAAUGCCUCGAUAUAGGGUGGUUUGCUUUUCAAUUAAGUACUUAAAGAGUACUAUUAUGAACCAGCACAAUAGAAAUACUACCGCUAUGGCUUCUCUCCACAACAGAAGCAGAAGCACCAAACAGAAGAAGCUCUAGACUUUUCAAUUUGCCAAACAUAGUAGAAGUGGAAGUGACGGAAAACAAUAUCAAUUAAUUGUAUGGUCAGUAGAAAGUCUGUUACUGUACCCUAGCAACAAAGUAAGUAUGUGAUGUAGCUUGUUGUUGGGUCUGACAACUGAGUUCCUUGAGCUCAUAUAAAGCAGCAGCAGCCUGAGAAAACCUCGAACCCUAAAUUCACAUAGUUCAUACGAUAAACUUAGAAAAAGCAUUAUAAGGAGAUAAAUUCGUUAAUGAUGUAUUCAAUAAAGAUAAUUACCUUACGCAGUGUGGAAGCAGAUUGCAACAGAUGUUCCACCGUGCAUUCUUUGCAAUUUACAAUCUGAAGAAGCACGCGUCUAAAGGCAAUGAAGGGCUCCAGCAAAUCAAGGUCGAGCUGCAAGUGCUGUAGAAUGAAGUUCCAUUCUUCAUUCAACAACUCUAGCUACCAAAAUUGAUGCAACAAAUCCGUUAGGCAAUUUGCGUAGAAAACAAUAUGAAGGGUAAAAUUACAGAUACCACCUAUUCUAUCCUGGUAUCGCGACUUAGUUCCUGAACUUAAUAGUCUUGAAUUUUCUUAUGUGGAAUUGCAAAAAAUGAGAAAGUUCAGCGAAUAAAAUGCUUAGAUAAAAAGUACAGGGACAGUCUCAAUAUCUGGAUAGUACAUGGACAAUCCAUACAAUUUACCCGGUGCAAAUUUAAGCCUGCAAAUUAGGAGAAUAUAAUAACCUCAAUUCUUGAAGGUAGAACAGGUUCGGGAAAUAGAUGAUUGACUUUAAGGUCAGAUUUCGAUAUUAGUUGUGGAUAUGACUUCCACCUCAAAUUCCAAGCCAUAGUAAGGUGGUCUAACAUCUGUGAUUAAAGAAAACUGUUAAAUGGCAGCUACUAAACAAAAUACUGCAGUAUAUCAUCUCAUAAUCUAUUACCUGAAGUUUGACAAUACUAGAAUGGAUAUACUUGGUACUCUCCUUGCUUGCAUUUGAUAUAGACAACACAAGAUCCUAUGUAUAAAAUCAAAGGAUUAAAAAUGCAACAACUAAAAGAGUAAUGUACAAGCAUGAAAUUUUAGACAGGAAAAAUUGAUCAGAGGUAAACAUGUACAUCAAUACCUUCUUCGCAUCUGCAAGUUUCAUACCGAACUCAUCAGCAUCACCCUCCUGAAAAGCUCUCAAGCAUCUAAAGAACCAAAAAGAAAAAUAAGAAACAAUACUACAAAGAACAACUCAGAAAGAAAAAGAUUUAUAGCAACUCCAAACAUCACUUGCCUAAUAUCUUUUCAAAUGGAAAGCAUGAAUGUUAUAUAACUAAAUAUUCAUCUUGUAAAAGGUAAAUAAAUAUGGACAGGAAAUAACUAAAGUGAUGAAUAAAAAAAGACUAUAUCUGCAAAGUUGUAAAGGUUACAGCGUAACAGAAGAGCUAGCCUGAGAAUUCAAUCAUAAUAACGAAAUUUAUGCUUUGAAACACAGCUCUAAAUUAAGGAGUAGAUUUCAUCACGACAAAUGAAGGCUGAAGCAGAAUAUCCAAACCUAAUGUAAUAUAUGAAAAGAAUCAAAGCUAUCACAGGAUUGAGUUAAAGGUACCUGUGUAAGCUUUCAUUGAAUAGACUGCUGUUCAUGUGUUGGGUAGUAUCUGUAACACUAGCACCUGGAGUGAAAAAUGAGAGAUCCCAAUUCCCAGCCCUCCAAGCAGCUUCAUACUACACCACACAAUAAAAACACACAAAAACAAAAUAAGGUAUAGGACACCUAAAAAGAAUAUAUAUAUAUAUAUAUAUAUAUAGCGAGAGAGAGAGAGAGAGAGAGAGUUGAGCUAGAAUACUAUCUUUAGUUAACGAGCUCUGUUGCUGCCAUUUUGUUUUGGGUUAAUUACACUAUUAGUCCCCAAUCUUUGCACCUUUUUUCAUACCUUUCUUUUUUUGCAAAUCAAGUCUCCAACCUCUUGAUUUAUUACAAUUAAAUCCCAGCCGUAAGAACGGGCGUUAAAAUUGACGGAAAAUGUGAUGUUAGCACCAUGUCAGUGCCACGGAGGCCUUUCCCUAAGAAGGAUCCUUCUUAGGUGAAUCCCUUAUAAAUAAGGGAUUUCACCGAUACCUGAUUUAGUAGUUCAAUACUAUAUAUGCUAUGGUCGGAAUACAAGGUAUAAGAAGGAAUUCAAGUUAUAUGCUAUGAUCGGAGGCCUUUCCCUAUCACGACCGCCUUCCUUUAUUCGGAAUGAAUUCGUCUAAAAAGAAAGAGCUAGCGAACCACGCCGAUUCCAUUCCAAUUCUCUCAGACAGAGCAGGAUAGUUGCCAUCAAAUUGCCCUUUUAGAGCAAGGGCGUCAGCACCAGCUAAUUAUACAAUUUUCAUUUAAAUUGUAUAUUAUAAAUUUAAAUUUAAAUUCAAAUUUUAUUUUGAAUUAAAUUAUAAAUUCAUAGCAAAUUUUUUUCUUUAAAAUUUAAAUUUUGAUAUUGGAUUCAAAUUUAAAUUCAAAUUCACAUUUUGAAUUCAAAUUCUAAUUUAAUUUCGAACUUUGAUUUGGAAUUUCAAAUUCAAAAUGUGAAUUUGAAUUCAAAGUUUAACUUCAAAUUUAGAAUUGAAAUCAAAUCUCAAAUUCAAAUUAAAUUUUGAAUUAAAAUUUAAAAUUUAAAAUCAAAAUUUUGAAUUUGAUUUUAAAUUCAAAUUCAGAUUUUAAAUGUAAAUUUUAGUUUCAAAAUUUUGAUGUUAAAUGCAAAUUCAAAUAUCAAAAUCAAAAAUUUAAGUUUGAAUUCAAAAUUUAGAUUCAAUUUAAAAUUUGAAUUUCAAUUCAAAAUUUUAAUUCAGCUUUAAAUCAAAAUUGUUAAAUUUUAAUUUUAAUAUUAAUUUCGAAUUUAAAUUCAAAAUUUUGAAUUUUUUACUUUUGGAGACUAAAGUGAAAAACAUACAAAAUUUAGGGACCAAAAUUGACAUGCAAAAGAAAGCCACAUAGGUGCUGACAUGGUGAUUCCUAAUUUUAACCCCUUUUUUAAGGGCUAGAACAUAAUUGUAAUAAAAUCAAGAGAUUGGGAACUUGAUUGCAAAAAAAGAAAGGUUUACUCAAGUGAAAAAUGGUACAAAGAUUGGGGACCAAUGAAGUAAUUAACCCUUUUGUUUUUUAUGAUGGAGCUUCUGAAUCGACGAUCAGCACCAUUGAACAUGAUCUAAACCACUUUUCUUGUCUUUCUCCAAUAUUGUUCUCUUAUGCAUCAAGUGGACACAAAAAAAAACGGCUAAAAAUAAAUAUCCUUCAAAAAGUUAUGAGAUGAUUCUUGUAAUUGAGAUCAAAACUAUAGGUCUUGCUUUAAGUAUUUUAAAGAACUUUCUAAUAAAAAUUCAACUGAUUUGGAUUCGUUUAACACUAUUAAACGAGCAAACGCCUCAAAUCGACCAUUAAAAUUACAAAUUCUGAAACUCUUUAAUUAUUAGAUCAAUGACGUCGAAAAGAUUUGAAAUUUAAUUUUUAGAUACUUCCAAGUGGUAUAGAUUAUGUUCAACGGAGUUGAUCAUUGAUUUGGAAGCUCCAUCAUCGAAAAUACAUUGGCACAAUGGAGCCUAUUUACUACCGAUAGUAUUCUAGCCCAACUCUACAUAUACACACACACACAAACAUACAUACAUUUAAUAAUAUGUGAAUAGUGCAUACUACAGACAUUUUAGCUCUUGGAUGUUUAUUACGAAUAGUACGAAGGGGUAAACACUAGGCAGUAGGCACCCAAGGCUAAAAAGUCUCCACUAUGCACUAUUCAUGUACUUUUAGAAGCACUACAACUAAAUACUAUAUAUAUAUAUAAUAAUAUAUAUAAUCUUAGAAAUUGGUGACCUGUAUAUCUGUUAACUCGGAGUCAUGUUGAAAAUAGCCUUUCUGGUUAACUAAACCUUGGCAGUAAACAUCAAGGAGAUGAGUGCAACCAGUUUUCUGCAAAGAUCUCAUUAGACCUUUGUGUAGUUCCCAAUUUACCACUUUUUCUCCUCGAAAAGAGGCAUGAGAGCCAUCAGCAUACAGUUUUCCCGAUGAAGCUCCCAUAUGUUGAAUCGGAGAAGAUCUAACUAGUAAGUCAUAGUACUCCAGAGCUUUACUCCAACUUCCCUCAUGCUCAAAUCUGACAAUCUGAGAUGCUAUCUAUUGAAGGGGAAAAGAAAAACAAAAAGAAUGGGAAGAAAGAUGAGCAAGUCAAGGAAAUGAAUUCUAAAAAGAGAUAUGGAAACAGUGAGUCCAUUUCAGUACAGUAAAUAUUAGUGGCAGAUAACUGAUGUCAAAAUAAACUCCACUAAUGUGAAUUGCCUCAACGACUGUCAAAAUCAAUUGACAUAUGGCUUUUGAAUAAACAUAAGGUAAAAUUCAACAUAAGGUAAAAUUCAACAAAGAAUAUUAAUAGUUUUGCAACAAUGCUUAUCUGUACACUAAUACAAAAAAUAAAAAAGCAAGUAAACAUAUACCUCCAGAAGUGCAACAUUCACACAAAAAAUUUAAAAGUGAAUAUACUGGAGUUCAAAUUUGAAUAAACCCUUAUAUAGAUACAUAAUCUACGAAGGUAACCAUAUAUGCAAUCUUAACUUUAAAAACAUUAAAAUUUGAAUAAACAUUUCAGAGUGCACACUUUUGAGAAUACCUAUCUAAGAUCCUCUAGUUAAAAAUCCUCGUGUUAGAAGAUUUGGGGUUGCAAUAUAGAGGUUAAUACAUGAAUAUUAUUGCGAUGGACAAUAUCACUACACUCUGGAACCUAUAGACUAACUUAAAAGAACAACCACGAGAUUUUGGAGGUUCUGUACCCUACAUUAUUUAUCCUAAUGGUGAGCAUCAAAAGCAUAUUUCAAAUAGGUAAAAUUGUAGACACCAAUAAAUUAAGUUAUGUUAGUCUUAUCAAAUGAUUCUUGUGCCAAACCAACAUAUAUCAAACUAAACACAAUUUCUGAUUUUAGCUUUAUAUAAUUUUGUUAUUAAAUAACCAGAUUUCAUGAGAAGAUAGAUUUUGUUGGAGGUUGAAUAUGAAAGAGAUCAUUGCUGAAUAUGCAAAAGCUAAGAACGCAUAACAAGUAAAUAUUUUUAAAGGAAAUAACCUUAUUUGACUGGAUGAUUCCAUAGAUGCUAUCAGGUUCAUUGAUCUGUUUGAAUGCUGCAACCAAUAGAUCAAUAUGUGGAGGCAACUGGAAACAAAAAGAGCACAAAAGAGCACAAAGAAAAUGUUUAAAGCUGGAAACAUAUCAUCCGUAAAUUCCAAACCCCAAAGAAAUAGGAGAUAUACUAACCAACUCUUCUUGUGAAAAAUCAGGAGGGCCUAAUGCCAGACCAUUAAAAUGUUCCUCACACCAGAGUUCCGCAUACAUUACUGCUGUGAAGUAUGAUCCACAACGCUACAAAGAUGCAAUAAAGAAGUCAAAGACAAUAACAGAAGCCAAAGGAAAGAGAGGUGAACUUUGAUUAGAUAAUACUCAUCCAAACAAAGUACAGCAAGUUACAUGAUUAAACAAAUGUGUAUUGCCAACAUGGAAAACGAAAAGGUAAUUUAGACUGAAGUUUCAAUGGUCAUUUGAGAAACGACUCCUAAAGAAGAGGAAAAAGGAUUUAUCUUGGUUAAAGGUCUAAAAUAACAGAAGGUAUAGAUGUAAAACUUAGUGAUUUGCCGACAACCAGCAUUAGGUUCUGGUAGAACUUACAGUACGCUAUCAACAAGCAGAACCAUAACAGUUAGAAUGAUUUAGAAAGGAGAGAGGCUUGUCUACAUUCUUAUUUGAACUACUUUAAGCAACCAAUAAUUUAUGUAGAAAGAUAUCAGAAGGCAGACUCACAAUUGCUGCUUUAGCAACCACAAGAUACGCAAUCAUCAAAUAAGUUACUUAGAAAAAUAUCAGAAGGGAAACUCACAAUUGCUGCUUUAGCAACCACAAGAUAAUCAACGGAAAGCCAGUACACCUAGGGAAACAAUAACUUGUUAGAAGAAAGAAUAUAAUGAAUAACAGCAUUAUGGUAUCUUGAAAAUUCUACUAAAUUAGGAUGGAAUAACACGAGCCAAAAAUCAUAAACCAAUAUGCUACAUGAAUGACGUCAAAGUAGAAUACUCUCCACAGAACUUAGACAAUAUAAAGAAAAUUAGGCAAAAACUUAAUUACCAAAUUUUGGACAUGCAUAAAUCUGAUCAAUUCAUACCUUACUAUCAACCUACAGUAAAUAAUAUCUCUCUUCCAUAUCGCAAAUAGCUUCUCUAUAAGAUUAAAUUUGAAUCUCUUUACAAAAUGGACAUUCAUACAAAAUAAAAUUUAAAAUGCAAACAUUUGAUCAAUCUUAUCAGCUUGCUCAAAAGAAUUAAGGCAUUAAAUCAAAGAACAAAGCCGCUGUUAAACAUUCAUCUCAAACUUUUGGUCCUUCGGUAUGAUAGUAAAUUGCAAGAAAGAAAUUGCAACAAUUAAAGAAGAUAAUGAGAACGGGAGGCUGCAAGGGUGGUUUUGUUAGUGUAGCCUUACUUCAAAAUUUACUUUUUAACUUUAGAUGGCCUCUUUAUCUCUUUCCCACAAGGGUAAAAAGAACAACCACCAGGUCCAACACCGUCUUUCGUAAAACUAGAAAGGAUUCCAAACCAGGAUCAACACUCCAAAAUGCACUUAAAUUGCAUUAACUCAAAGUCAAAGUAAUAGAUUACGUUAAUUGAUUAGUUAGUAGCAACUUAACCUUGUAUAUUACAGCUAAAUCUCUUCAACCAAAUAAUUUUGCAUUAUCUUUGCUUCAACGAAAAUAAUUUUGCUUUAUCUUGGAAGACAGAACACCGAGAUAACUGCUAUGAACAGGGAAGAAGACAGUAAUUGCUCAUGUUUAUAACCAAGAUAACUACCUUUUGCCACAAGGAAGUCAACUGGAGAGCACUGAAUGAUCGAUCUUUACUUCUUUCGGAUCGAAAUUUCGCCGAGGUUUUGUCAUUCUGUAAAAUUUCAUGAUGGUUGCAUUUAGUACAAUCGUAAUGCAAGACUGCACAACAGUCACAGGUAAUAACAAAAAAAAAGAACAUAUAUUGAAAAAAUAGAACAUUUAAAGCUCUUGAAUUAAGGAGCUUAAGAAAGAAAGAACCCAGUAAGUUCAAUUUUCCAUAGUGGAAUACAAAGACCAAAAUAGACACACAAGUAAGUUUACCUAGCCAGUAAUAUGAAUACAUGCCGAGUACCACAACUACUUUUUCAAUUCAAUAAUGUUGAGACCUUUUUUUAUGACUUUUCAUGCUGUUUGGCUAGUUGGGUAGUGCAAAAUCGUAGAUGUUCAUCACAUCCGAGUAAAAAGUUAGAGGAGUUCUUUUACUAUUAUCUUCAAAUGUGAAAAACGUUUUAUUUAUAAAGAAUAAUAUGUAUUCAUAAAAAUGGGAGUAGUCAUAUUCUUGAGAAGUAAUCAAACCAAAAUAAUCCUUCAAACCAACCAUAGUUAACCCAAAAUGAAGCAACACAUUUCAAACCAGAAUAUACUCCAAGCACUUCAAAGUAUCCAAGCCUUUAGGCUGUGCAAUUCAAAUGAGAGAAAUUUCAAAAAUGAUUCAUCAAUUCCUUAGAAUGACAACCAAGGAACAAAACUACAUCAUAUGAAUUUACUAUAUUAGUAAUGAGGCAUGCUAACCUUCAUGACAAAAAUAACUAUCUAUAUGUAGUGCCUAAUUAUACAUUAUUAAUUUUCCCAUGACAAGACAUCCUUACUUUCAGAGCCGCAGAAAAAGAUCCAGCUCUUUCAGUAACAUAAAAAGAUCUGAUUUCAUUUAAUGCUUCCAAUAAGACCUGAACUGACUUGAUCAGAUUAUUUGAAUCAGAGAAAAUGUUUUCCCGAAUCUGCAAUAAAUUUGAGCCCAUAGUAAAUCAAGGUAGAAUGAUAUAGUGAAAUGACAAUUAACUAUAAGUUAGGGGGGGCUCAGAUACCAAACCUUCGUUGAGAUUAAUUUACAAAGGGCAGCAUUAGAGUCAGUCUUUCCCGCAAGGCUCACCAGCACGCUAGCAAACAGAAGCUCAGCUGUCUCAGCCUUCAACAAGACUAUAUUUUGACAGAGUCUGCAAAUGAGAAAGAGAGUACAUGAUUACCAUCAUAUUUAAGAGUCUCAAAUGAAAAACAUAGUACCAUAUUUCCGCGAUAAUGAGACAAGCUAAUCGAAGUACCUUAAAAUUAUAUCAUCGCAAUGACAAACAAGUGAGUGCACAAGGGAACACACCCAUGUAUCAUAGGUUUUUGCUUCUGUCCCCCAGAGAGAAGAAUCUUCUAAAGAAGCUGCAUAGAUACAAGUCAUCAAACUUAUGAACUUUUCCAGGCAAAAAGGUGGCUAGUGAUGUGCUACAAAAACAUGAAAACAAUGUAAAGCAGGAUCAAACACAUAACAGACUUAGGCCCCGUUUGGAUACCUCUAAAAACGUAGCAUAGUUAAACUAUGCUACGCCGAUAGAAAAAUAAUCCUAUGAAGCGUUUGGAAGAAAAAAAAAAUGAUGUAACGUUUGGAAGAAAAAAAAAAUGAUGUAAUUUUUGGAGUAUAGUUAUACUAUACUCUAAAAAAUAGAGUAAACUUACAAUCCACUUUAACCAAAGGAAAAAAAUUCCACCAUUUUGGGCUCCCGAAGAUGUAUCAAUUUCUAAAUUUUAAAUUUCAACAUAAAAUUUUAAAUUUCAAAUUUUAAAAUUUUAAAAUUCAUUUUUAAUUUUGAUUUCAAAUUUCAAAUUUCAAAUUUCAAAUAAGUUCAAUUUGCAAUUUCAAACUUUCAAAUUUCGAAAUUAAAAAUUUCGAAAAUUUCAAUUUCAAACUUUCAAUUUCAAAUUUCAAUUUCAAAAUUUCACAAUUUGCAAAUUUUAAAUUUCAAAUUUCAAUUUCUAAUUUCAAAUGUUCAAAAUAGUUAAAAUUUCAAAUUUCAACUUUGUCAAUUUCAAAUUUCAGAAAGUUCAAAUUAAUUUUCAAUUAAUUUCAAAUUUAAAUUCAAAAUUUUCAAGAUUUCAAAUUAAUUCAUUUAAAAUUUCAAUUACUUUCAGAAUUUCAAAUUUCAAAUUCAAAAUUUUUCAAAUUUGAAAUUUCAAAAAUUUAAAUUUGAAAAGUUCAAUAUUUCAAAUUUCAAAUUUCAAAAAGUUAAAUUUUCAAAUUUCAAAUUUCAAAUUUCAAAUUUUAAUUUAAUUUUAAUUUUAUUUUUAAUUUCAAAAAUUUAAAUUUAAACUAAAUUUUAAAUUUUAAAUUUAUAAAUAUUAAGUUUGAUAAAUAUUAAAUUUAAAAUGUUAAAAUUUUAAUAAUAGAUUUUUUAAAUUUCAAAUAAUUUAAAGUUUAAAUGUGUAUACUUUACAUUUUUAACAUUAAAGUUUCAAAAUUUCAAAUUUAAAUUUUAAAUUUCAAUUUAAAUUUUCAAAUUUUAAAUUUUAAAUUUCAAAAUUCCAAUUUCAAAUUUCAAAUUUAAAACUAUUAAUUAAUUUUUAAAUUUUAAAUUUUAAAUUUUAAUUUUAUAUUUUGAAUUUUGAAUUGUAAUUUUUAAAAUUUUAUUUUUAAAUUUUGAUUUUUGAAUUUUUAAUUUUUAAUUUUUAAUUUUUAAUUUUAAAAUUUUAGAAAUUUAAUUGUUAUAAAUCCUGUGGAAUUGUAUGAUAUGUAUCUAAAUAGCUUAAAAAUAAAGCUGUGGAAUUUUUUUGUAGUUACAGGAUUCCGUAUUUCAUUUAAACCAAAACCAUAGAAUAAAAAUUUCAUGGAGUUUUUUAACUAUGCAUCCAAACAGGGCCUUAGUCUAGUAUACAAUAAUCCCAAAGGUCAUAAGCCAUGGGAUGUGUCAUAUUGACCAUUGUUCAUAUUCCGAGUUCUAACUCAGUAAGUCUAUGCAAUUCCUCUUCUACUCUAGGUACGCAUCAAAGGAUGAGAAAAACAAGGUGCUUAUCAAAGGACAAGAAAAACAAGGUGCCUAUCAUUGGACAAGAAAAACAAAGUAUGGUCUACACUAGAACAAAAGGAAAUUAUGUUACAUUCAUAGUCAGUUAUAGUUCGAGAGGUCUACGGUAAAAUAAUAAGUCACAAGAUCACUUAUGUCAAAUUAUUGCAACGUAAGAGCAUCAAUAAAAUAUAUUAUGAAAUGUGGAAUUACCACAAGAGUUCUUUUCAGAAUCCAUCAGUAACUUUUCAACUGUUGGCAAGUUAACACCUUUGGAAUGAACCUGCAUAACCAUAAUAAAUAGAAAAAAUGCACCGAAAUAUUGGAAGAAUAUAACAUCAAAAAUGACAAAAAGAAAAAAAGAGCAAAAAAUGAAAAACAAUAUCUGCAACCUAUAACCUAUUUAUGGAAAAAAAAAUUCUAGUAAGAAAAUUUACCGCAAGUAAAGAUCUCUCAUAAGAACCCAGUGAUGCCAAUGCAUUCUGACCUUUCUCUGUUGAAAGAAUUCCCUGUUAAUUUGCAAAGGAAAAAAAAAAACGCUAUCAAACUAGACUCCGUAGUAUUUUGAAUUUCUUUUUAACAGUUACAGUAGGAAGAAAUGAAAUUGUAAGAUAAUGAUGAUCCAUUAGCAUAGACUCUAUGAAGUUAUAGUUUAUGCGAGGAAUCCACUUUGAAUGGUUCAGAAUGCAAGACUGACAUUCCAGUGUUAUAUAAGCUCACAAAUAUCACCAAGCUAACAGCAUUCAAAUUAAAUCAAGAAUGAAUUGUAAUACAAAGUACAGGUAAAUUGGCAUUCUCUUAUCACUAAUUAAUGUCCACCAACUUAAAAAUUAA
rnacentral:lncRNA from 1 species